AUCAGAAUAGGCGAGUGGUUUUACGCCAACAGGCCCAUAUUGCGAAAGCUCUGUGACCUGUAGGUCCCUGGAUCGAAACCAGGUUCUGAUA
rnacentral:tRNA from 1 species